AAAGGUGAUAAAAUAAUUUAUUAACCAGGAGGACAGUGAUGAUAUUCAUGAGAAUAGUGUCCAUCAGAGGAAUGAAGCCAGAUUGCAUUAAUUAGACUGAUUCAAUGUCAGAAUGGAGUGGACUCAUUUCUCUCUAUUCCUCUACUAAGUACAACUAAACCUUCUGCACAUUAUAUAAAAAAUAAACAUUAGGAAACUGAAAGGUACAGAGAAGAUGACAGACCAGCUAGGGACCUUGGGACCUGAAGAAUGACAUUAUGAAAGUACAGUGAGGACACUCUCAGCGUGCUACCCUCUUAAAGCCACCACCAUCUCUGGCCUGAGCUGUUGUCGUACCACCUACAUAUACCUCAAAAGGAGCCCAAGUGUGGCUAAUCUAGGAGGUCAUCCUGGUCAAGGGAGAUGCAUGAAAAGGAAACAUUACUAAGAAGGGGAAAUAUUCAGCUCACUGGGGCAAAAGCAGAACUGGUGACAAGAACCAACAAGAUAAUACUACCUACCAUAUGUGGACACAGACAGAAAGAAGCAGUUAAUUAAACUUAAGUCACAGAUACCUGUUUAGGGAUGCACUUACAUCUGCC